GCGUGACACAAAUUUGGCCCCGAGGGAGCUCCAUGUGCCUGAGUCCCAGGAGCCCUAGAUGCCAGCGACAGCUUGUCACCAGGCCUGCGACGCCAAUGGGCGGGAGUCGGCGGAGCUCAGGACACUGACGACGGGCCUGGGGGAAAGCGGUCCCCACACAGCCCGGGGCCAGAGGAGCGGGCUGCCAGGGUCAGACGGAGGAAGACCGCGGGAAACAGACUGGACGUGCAGGGAAAGGUGUCAUGAGGACUGGACAUGGGUCUAUCAGGACCAUCGGCAUGAUGUCAGCCAAGGAUCUCGUGGCCUGCCUCUGCCAAGGGGGGACCAGCACCUUGUCCUGAGCACUUCCAGCCUCCCAUUGCCUUCAACCUGGCUGCAUUCAGCUGCCAUGCCCCUACCUCCUGAUGUGGCCAGCACCCUCCAGGACUUCAUCUAGGUGCACCCAAAGGCCGAGGACGUUGCUGGCCAGCAGGAAAUUCCUGGUGCAUCCAGGAAGACUUCCAAGAGGUGGUGGAACAGGGGGCGCCACACCCAGACAGCUGUGUGUAACUGUGCAGCUUCGGGCUGCUGCAGGUGCUGGCCGGACUGUGUUCUGGGCACACUGGACUGUGUCACUGCAUGGAGGCUGUUGCCGGAGGAGGAAGUGCAGGCCCCAAGGCCUAUGUGCCUGGAAACCAGCUGGGGCUGCUGCAGGAGGAGGGCUGCAGGAUGCUCCAGCUCAGACCUGACUCAGGGUUUUAGAGGGCACAGGGCAUAAAGCUGUGGACAUAGACAGCCCUACUGCGCAGGAAGAGCAUAAACCAGCCAGAGGGCAUGCAUGGGGGCUGCUGUUGCAUUCUGGUCUCCUUUGAGGUAGGGAAAGAUGUGUUUCUUUCUAUUUUAUGGGUGAGCAAACUGAGGCAGAGUGGUGGAGUGAUUUCCCCCAGCAUCGAUGGCAGAUUUAGCUCCAGGGCUUAGAUUUUAGGAUCCUCCCUCUCAAAUACCAUGAUGUAUCAUGGGCUUUUUCUCCACAGAAAAUUAGAAACUCAGAAAUGGAAAGGAACAAUGAAACUUACCCAUUCUCCCACUGCUCACAUUUCCUUCUGGUCUUUUUGUGUGUGCAUAUAAAAUAUAUCUCAGAAAAUUGA
rnacentral:lncRNA from 1 species